rnacentral:lncRNA from 1 species
GUGUAUAUAUUGCCACAUUUGGGGUGUAAAUAGCAACAUAUUACAAGAAAAUUAGCUCGGAAAAAAUUAAAAAACAAUUUUCUCAAACAAUCGAUUCUUUAUUCAGGGCCAUUACUAAACAUACUCCUUUUACCUGAAACACAUUUCUAUAGUAACUGGGAAAAUUAGCUUAUUUGCAUAAUCAUAACCCUGACAAAAAUAACUUACAUGCCAUUUAAA